UACGGGGGGGGCAAGCGUUGUUCGGAAUUACUGGGCGUAAAGGGCGCGUAGGCGGUCUGCUAAGUUGGAUGUGAAAACUCUGGGCUUAACGCAGAGCCUGCAUUCAAUACUGACAGGCUAGAGUUCUGGAGGGGAUAGCGGAAUUCCUGGUGUAGCGGUGAAAUGCGUAGAUAUCGGGAGGAACACCAGUGGCGAAGGCGACUCCCUGGCCUGUUCUUGACGCUGAGGCGCGAAAGCUAGGGGAGCAAACGGG
rnacentral:rRNA from 1 species